rnacentral:rRNA from 1 species
AAAACGACUCUAGGCAACGGAUAUCUCGGCUCUCGCAUCGAUGAAGAACGCAGAGAAAUGCGAUACUUGGUGUGAAUUGUAGAAUCUCGCGAACCAUCGAGUCUUUGAACGCAAGUUGCCCCUAAAGCCUUUCGGCCGAGGGCACGUCUACCUGGGUGUCACGC